ACAGCCAUACCAUGCUGAAUAUACCGGUUCUCGUUAGAUCACCGAAGUCAAGCAUCAUUGGGCGCGGUCAGUACUUGGGUGGGUGACCACCUGGGAACACCGCGUGCCGCUG
rnacentral:rRNA from 1 species